CACGUAGGGUGCGAGCGUUGUCCGGAAUUAUUGGGCGUAAAGAGCUCGUAGGCGGUGUGUCGCGUCGGCCGUGAAAACCUGCAGCUUAACUGUGGGCUUGCGGUCGAUACGGGCAUCACUGGAGUUCGGCAGGGGAGACUGGAAUUCCUGGUGUAGCGGUGAAAUGCGCAGAUAUCAGGAGGAACACCGGUGGCGAAGGCGGGUCUCUGGGCCGAUACUGACGCUGAGGAGCGAAAAGCCCAGGGGGAGCAAAACGGGG
rnacentral:rRNA from 1 species